GACGAACGCUGGCGGCGUGCCUAAUACAUGCAAGUUGAGCGCUGAAGGUUGGUACUUGUACCAACUGGAUGAGCAGCGAACGGGUGAGUAACGCGUGGGGAAUCUGCCUUUGAGCGGGGGACAACAUUUGGAAACGAAUGCUAAUACUGCAUAAAAACUUUAAACACAAGUUUUAAGUUUGAAAGAUGCAAUUGCAUCGCUCAAAGAUGAUCCCGCGUUGUAUUAGCUAGUUGGUGAGGUAAAGGCUCACCAAGGCGAUGAUACAUAGCCGACCUGAGAGGGUGAUCGGCCACAUUGGGACUGAGACACGGCCCAAACUCCUACGGGAGGCAGCAGUAGGGAAUCUUCGGCAAUGGACGAAAGUCUGACCGAGCAACGCCGCGUGAGUGAAGAAGGUUUUCGGAUCGUAAAACUCUGUUGGUAGAGAAGAACGUUGGUGAGAGUGGAAAACUCAUCAAGUGACGGUAACUACCCAGAAAGGGACGGCUAACUACGUG
rnacentral:rRNA from 1 species